rnacentral:lncRNA from 1 species
UCCAGCCCUGUGGCUCUGUCAUCCCUGUGACCUUGGACAGGGCCCUCAACUACUGGGCUGUGGGGCCUAAGAGAGGCUACUGAUGCCACCCAGGAGGAUGUACCAAUGCCAGCUGGUGGCUGGGGCCUGGCAGACACACAGGGAAUUCAGCAAAGAGAAGCAGUGAGCUGCUGUCGCCUCCUUCAAGCUUUGACUUCUAACGUUCAUCUCCAUGGCCAGACCCUGAGCUGGUCCCCAGGAACACAGCAUCAUUGGAACAAGAUCUGCCUGUUUGACUGCUGCCUGCUUGGAAUUCCCUUUGUCUGAUGUAGACAGGGCAGACCUUCACCCCACCCCACCCCCGGCCGGGCCAUGUCUCAUUUGCAUUUGACUGAAGUACCUGUGGAGAGUAUUUUCAACUGGAAUUUGAAACUAUUUUUACGCCUUUCUGCCUAUGUUGGGACUUAGAUGGCCAUGCACGUCUCUCUCUCUCCUGCUGCAAUAACCCUACUACGCAGAAGUGACUUCUCAAGUGUCUCAGGGUCUCGGAGGUUUCUGCACCCAUACACAUCCUGUCACCGCUGGCCCUGUCCUAGAAGCAUCAGGAUUGUAACUCGUGGGUGGGUUUGCCCGUCGGAUGUCACGUGCUCCCGGACGCUGUGCAGCGCAACACGACAGCAGACACAUCUCUGUGAAGCUGAGGGGACGCGUGUCCCCUGGCUGUGCCUGUGAAAGGGGUGUCCGGGGAGGACUGAGCCUGGGGGACGGGGAGCACGGAGCCGCCGCAGGUGUUUCUUUUCCUAGAUGCGGCUCAUGGCCGCAUCCAGGUUUUGCUUUUCACCUUUGAGUCUGUGAGAA